CUUGACCUUUGACCUAGGAAGUUGUACAUACAUCAUGACACGCCCUCUGGUGGUGGUUAAUAAACAUGUAAAGUAUAAAGUAUGAAAUCAUAAUGGUUCUCUAGAUAUGGAGUGGACACAAAGUUAAAGUGUUACGGACGGACGGACGGACGGACGGACAGACAGACUGAUCACUAUAGGGCGACCCGCCUAAAGGCGGGGCCCUAAUUAAAAC
rnacentral:lncRNA from 1 species